GAUGAACGCUGGCGGCGUGCCUAAUACAUGCAAGUCGAGCGAACAGAUAAGGAGCUUGCUCCUUUGACGUUAGCGGCGGACGGGUGAGUAACACGUGGGUAACCUACCUAUAAGAGUGGGAUAACUUCGGGAAACCGGAGCUAAUACCGGAUAACAUUUGGAACCGCAUGGUUCUAAAGUGAAAGAUGGUAUUGCUCUAAUUUAUAGAUGGACUCGCGCCGUAUUGGUAAGUUGGUAGGGUAACGCUUUACCAAGCCGAGAUACCUAAGCCGACUUGGAAGGGGGAUCGGCAACACGGGAACUAGACAACGCUCCAGACUCCUACGGAGGGCGCCAGUAGGGAAUCUUCGGCAAUGGGCGAAAGCCUAACGGGGCAACGCCGCGGGGGUGAUGAAGGGUUUCGGCUCGUAAAACUCUGUUAUUGGGGAAGAACAAACGUGUAGGGAACAGUGCACGUCUUGACGGUGCCUAAUCAGAAAGCCACGGCUAACUACGUG
rnacentral:rRNA from 1 species